CCUACGGGGGGCUGCAGUGGGGAAUAUUGGACAAUGGGCGAAAGCCUGAUCCAGCCAUGCCGCGUGUGUGAAGAAGGCCUUCGGGUUGUAAAGCACUUUCAGUGGGGAAGAAAGCCUUGGGGCUAAUACCCUCGAGGAAGGACAUCACCCACAGAAGAAGCAUCGGCUAACUCCGUGCCAGCAGCCGCGGUAAUACGGAGGGUGCGAGCGUUAAUCGGAAUUACUGGGCGUAAAGCGCGCGUAGGCGGUCUGAUAAGCCGGUUGUGAAAGCCCCGGGCUCAACCUGGGAACGGCAUCCGGAACUGUCAGGCUAGAGUGCAGGAGAGGAAGGUAGAAUUCCCGGUGUAGCGGUGAAAUGCGUAGAGAUCGGGAGGAAUACCAGUGGCGAAGGCGGCCUUCUGGACUGACACUGACGCUGAGGUGCGAAAGCGUGGGUAGCAAACAGGAUUAGAUACCCGGGUAGUC
rnacentral:rRNA from 1 species